CUCAUUCUCAUUAAUAAUUCUUAAUCAUUUUUUUCUCUCUCUAUCCCUCUCUAACCCCACAUAGAUAUCUACAACAUUUUUAAUUAUGUGAAAAAACCCAAAUAUGUUCUUAAUAAAAGGGAGGAGGGAGUACCCUUUCCUUUGAUUUUUUUAAAGUAGACCCUUAAUGUUGAUAACGAAAACAUAAGAACGAAUCCCGCAAGCCGUAAUCUUGUCUCUUUAAGGACUUUCUCUCCAGUAACACAAACCCAAAGGCCAAAGUAGAUCCAUUGAACACUUUCAUUUUGUGACACACAUCAAGAUUUAAAGACUUCUUCUUUUCCACAGUUUGGUUUUCUGACAAUAUCAACACUCAAAACUAACCAAUCUUUGAACUAUGCAGUAAUUUGCACAGAAAAUUUUCAAUUUCAUCCCCAAAUUCAUACAAUUACUUCGUAAAUCAAUACUCAAAAUUGUCAGAACCAAUCUAUUUCGUCAAUUACCCAAUAUAUAUAUAUAUAUAUUUUUUUUUUUAAAAAAAAAAAAACUUGAGCAAAAAGUCAAAAUUACCCCUAAAAAUCUACAACAAGCUUAGCUUACAGCUGCCUGUCCCACACUGACCCUACCAUUAGUCCAUUACCCUGAUAUCAGCAACAGUUUCAUAGCCUAUAAACCAAACUUAACCCAAAAAAUAUAAAAUUAAAAAGAAAAAUAACAAAAUAAAAAAAAAGCAAACUUUGAUUUACGAAUCUCAAGGGUUAUACCUGGAAACUUCAAACCAAAUUACAGAAUCCAUAGUUUUAACUGUUAAGUUCCCCAAAUUUGUUUUCCCACAUACCCUAAAUCCGCAAGACCAAUUUCUGAUUUUUUCCAUGUUACAGAAAAUUUAAUUCAAGAAAAAAAAACCCACAAAAAAUAAGAGAAGAAAAAGGUACAUUUUGAUUUUAUAAUAAUUGGCCUAGUUAACCAAAGUCCAAACUUUUGUUAAGAGUUAGAGAGAGAAACACACAAAUUCGAAGAGAGAGAAAGAAAUACCACACCAUUACCAUUACCAUUACCAUUACCAUUGUCAGACCACCAAUUUCAUUUUCACCCCCCUACCAUGGCAAAAUUAAGUUUGCGGCAAAUUCAGUAAUUCUCAGCGAUUGAUAAGGUAUAUGAAUGAGUGAAGAGAUUUAAUGGCAUUGUGGUUUUUAUCUUGGUGAUAUGGAAGUUCUUAAGUGUCCUGCCCUCCUCUAUGCUGAAAAUUCUUGCCACUCUCAAGAGAAAUCAGUCAUGGAGUUUGUGCAAGAUUCAGAAUCAAAUAGUGUUAAGCAUGCCGAGCAAAUAUCUGUAGAAGAGAAGGAAGUGGAUCAUUUUCUGCCAAGUUUGAAAGUGGCCAUAGGCACGAUGCAAUGUGAUGGUCAAGACCAAGAUGGAGAGGCUCUUAUGUUAGAAGAGAGAUCUAAUGGGUCUUCACACUCUGGUUCUGAUUUGUUGAGCCAGAAUUUGUCUGGGGUAGUUCUUGAUCAUGAUGAUGAUAACCUCGAGGAACAGGUCCAAUAUAAAGAAACUUACCUUGAUUUUCAGAACUCUCAUGUAGAUGUGAACACAAUUGAAAGUGAGCCACAUUCUGAAAAUAAAGAAGACGAGUCAUUAAUAUCAGCAACCAGGUGGCCUGAGCAAGAUGAAUCUCUUGCAUUAUGGGUUAAGUGGAGAGGAAAGUGGCAAGCUGGAAUCAAAUGCGAAAGGGCAGACUGGCCAUUAGCGACUGUGAAAGCAAAACCAACUCAUGACAGGAAGAGUUAUAUUGUGAUAUUCUUUCCACACAAAAAGAAUUAUUCUUGGGCAGAUACACUGCUUGUUUGUGCAAUUGAUGAGCUUCCGCAGCCUAUUGUACACCGGUCACAUAAAGUUGGAGUGCAAAUGGUUGAAGAUUUGACUGUUGCACGCCGCUUUAUCAUGAAAAAGCUAGUAAUUGGCAUAUUGAGUAUUGUUGACCAGCUUCCUGUUCAGGUGUUGCUCGAAACUGCUCGUGAUGUAGUUGUAUGGAGAGAUUUCGCUGCAGAGGCUUCUCGCUGUAAAAGUUAUCCUGAUCUUGGAAGAUUGCUCUUAAAGCUUCAGAAUAUGGUAUUGCGGCAGUACAUCGAUGCUAACUGGCUGCAACAUUCUUUCCAACUGUGGGUAGAUAAGUGCCAGAAUGCUGUCAGUGCUGAUUCCAUUGAACUUCUGAAGGAGGAAUUGGUGAAUUCUAUUUUGUGGAGUGAAGUCAACGAUCUUCGAGAUGCCCAAGGACAGCCUGCAUUAGGUUCUGAGUGGAAGAUGUGGAAGCAUGAAGUUAUGAGAAGUUUCUCAAUGACGCAGUCUGUGUCCGGUGGUGGAGGCGUAAAACAGCCAAGCAAAAAUGGCAUAGAAGAUUUUAGUGUUAGUCCACCGAUGACAAGUCUUCAAAUUAGCCGGAAGAGACCUAAGCUUGAAGUUCGUCGUGCAGAGCCACAUAAUUCUGUAGGUGAAAAUAAGAGCUGUCAGGAAAAUACCAUUGUUGAGAUUAAUUCGGCAUUUUUUUCUGAUCAGAGCACUAUGAAUGCUGAUAAUGCGCUCUUGCCUCCUAAAGAGGACCUUUUAGGCCAGACAAUAGCACAAAUUUCCUCACCGAGCAAUGCCAUAGAUGGAUGGGAUGGGGACCAUGGGGUUGUGGUCGAUACUUUAAACGCAGAGUCUACCCAGAAAGAAGAUAGUAGACUGCAACCCGUUAAUGGAGUGGUCGAGACAAAAUCCCCAGCUUCUAGAGUCAAUAGUCGGAAAUGCAUUGCUUUUAUUGAGGCUAAGGGAAGGCGGUGUGUAAGGUGGGCUAAUGAUGGUGAUGAAUACUGCUGUGUUCAUUUGAUGUCUCGUUUUGCAACACAAUCUGUCAAAACAGAGACCUCUACACCAGCUGAAUCAUCUAUGUGUCAAGGAACUACCACUCAAGGUACCAGGUGCAAACAUCGCUCUCUCCCAGGUACCUCCUUUUGUAAAAAACAUCGCCCCCAUGGUGAUGGAACAAUGCCCCCAAGUUCACCUGGAAGUCAGUUAAAGAGAAAACAUGACGAGCUGCUAGACAAGUCCGAGAACACAUGUAAGGAUAUUGUUAUAGCUGGGAGAGCUGAAAGACCUCUGGAAGGACAUUUGAACACACUUAUGGAAGGAACUACCUCUAAUGGAGGAGAACUUGAACUGAUAGUGCCUGAACAACAUGCUGAGGAUUCUAACAAUAAGAAUGUAGAGAUAGCUUAUUGUGUUGGAUUGGGCAUGCAUGAGGGCCAUUCAAACUGUUUAGAAAGCCCUAAGAGGCAUUCUUUAUACUGUGAUAAACAUAUACCUAGCUGGCUGAAACGUGCUAGAAAUGGUAAGAGUAGGAUAAUCUCCAAAGAAGUUUUUGUGGAUCUUUUGAGGACAUGUUCCUCCCAGAAGCAGAAAACUCAUUUGCAUCAAGCAUGUGAGCGUUUCUACAAUCUCCUUAAAAACUUAUUAUCCUUGAGAAACCAAGUUCCCAAAGAGACUCAAUUUCAGUUGGUGUUGUCUGAAGCUUCUAAAGAUAUACAUACAGCUGAACUUUUAAUGAAGCUGGUUUCCAGAGAAAAAGAGAGGUUGACAAGGAUAUGGGGCUUUAAUUUAGAGAAGGAUGCGCAAGUUUCCUGCUCUCCUGUAGAGGAAUUAGCUCUGGUCCCUGUAGAAGAAGAGGCUGUUGAUGAUGGAAGUUUCAAAUGUAAAAUUUGCUUUGAAGAGUUUUCUGAUGAUCAAACACUUGGGACACACUGGAUAGACAGUCACAAUAAGGAAGCACAGUGGCUUUUUAGGGGCUAUGCCUGUGCUAUUUGUCUUGAUUCUUUCACUAACAGGAAGGUUCUUGAGACACAUGUACAGGAGAGACACCAUGCUCAGUUUGUUGAGCACUGCAUGCUUAUCCAGUGUAUUCCUUGUGGCAGCCAUUUUGGUAAUUCUGAGGAGUUAUGGUCACAUGUUCUUUCAGCUCACACAGAAGGUUUUAGACAAUCAAAUAGAGGGCACAACGGUCACCAAUUAGUGGGUUCUCAGCAGAAUCUUAUUCCCUCGACACUUGCCUCUGUUGAUAAUUCUGAGAGUCAGAGCAGUAUUCGGAAGUUCAUUUGUAGAUUCUGUGGGUUAAAGUUUGAUCUGCUACCUGAUUUAGGCCGUCAUCAUCAGGCAGCUCAUAUGGGGCCAGGUUUGGUAAGCUCUCAUCCAAAGAAGAAAGGCCUCCGCUUUUAUGCGUAUAGACUAAAAUCAGGAAGACUAAGCCGUCCCAGAUUCAAAAAGGGUCUUAGUGGAGCAUCUUAUAGACUCAGAAAUAAGGGUAGCUUAGUUUUAAAGAAACGAUUACAGCCUGUUAAUCCUAUUGGCGCUGGACAAAUAAAUGUGCAAUCUCAUGUAAUGGAUACUGCUGGUCCUGUUAGACUUACCGAGGCUCAGUGCUCAGCUAUUGCACAGAUGUUGUCUUCUGAAGCUCAGAAAACAAGAGCACGUCCUAGUAAUAAUGAAAUCUUAUCUAUUGCUUGCUCUGCUUGCUGCAAGGUGAGUGUUCAGAGGUCACUAGAGCAGAAGUAUGGAGAAUUGCCUGAACGCUUAUACUUGAAAGCUGCUAAGCUUUGCAGUGAACAUAACACUCCAGUAGAUUGGCAUCAGGAAGGGUUUAAUUGCUCUAAAGGAUGCAAACCACAGGAAGAUUAUAUUUUGGGGUCUGUUUUGUCUUGUCCCAUUAAUGAAUGUGGAAGGCUAAAUUCACCUUCUCCAAAUCCACAAGAGGAAUGCGAAAUGGAUGAGUGCCACUUUGUCAUGAAUCCGCAAUAUUUUAGUUGGAGACACUUACAAACCACCAUUAUCUUGUGUGAUGAUAUAAGUUUUGGAAAAGAAAAGGUAUCAGUUCCUUGUGUGGUUGACAAAAACCUGCUAGAUUCACUUCAUAAUCCAACAUAUGACUUUGAUGGGCAAGCAUUUUUCAUGCCGUGGGAGAGCUUUACAUAUGCGACUAAGCCACUGUUAGAUAUAUCCCUUGAAGUCAAUAUGCAGAAUUUGCAGUUAGGGUGUGGCUGUUCACAAUCAACUUGCUAUCCUGAGACAUGUGAUCACGUAUACCUGUUCAACAAUGAUUUCGAGUAUGCGAAGGAUAUCGAUGGAAAGCUUAUGGAAGGAAGAUUCCCUUAUGAUGAUAAAGGUCAACUAGUUCUGAAGGAUAAUUAUCUCAUCUAUGAAUGCAAUAACCUGUGUAAGUGUAGUAGCAACUGCCCAAAUAGGGUAUUGCAGAAUGGGGUUAGAGUAAAGAUGGAAGUCUUCAAAACAUUGAAAAAGGGUUGGGCACUCCGAGCCGGUGAAAAAAUUUUGCGCGGCACCUUUGUAUGUGAAUUUGUUGGUGAAGUAUUAAAUGAACAGGAAGUUGACAGAAGGCGCAAAAGGUGUAAAAAAGAAGGUCGUGAUUAUAUCUAUGACAUGGGUACCCAUAUGAAGCACAUGAGUGAAUUGAUUGAAGGGGAAGCCAAGUAUUUUAUUGAUGCUACAAAAUAUGGAAAUGUUUCGCGUUUCAUAAAUCACAGCUGCUGUCCAAAUCUUGAAAGUCACCUGGUUCUUGUGGAAAGCAUGGAUUUUCAGCUUGCCCAUGUUGGUUUCUAUGCAAAACAGGAUAUAGCUGCUGGGGAAGAACUUUGUUUUGACUUUCACUAUGAGCUACUGGCUGGAGACGGAUGCCCCUGCUUGUGCGGAGCUUCGACUUGUAGGGGUCGCCUUCACUAAUAUUAUUAGCAAAUUAGCAUCAAUGGCCAGGCAAUCAGUUGCAUCACAGAAGCUGAUUUUAAGGGCCUUUGUAAUGGUCUUGUAGUCACGCUGCUAAAUUUUCCAUUGACUGCUCGAGUAGAGCUGAGCUAUGCAGUGUCGGGAGCCUAUUGCCUUCUUGUAAAUUGAUUGAUUGAGAUGGCGAAUUAAAGGCGUGGGUUGAGAGUUCUUGAAAUUGGAUGUUCCAAGUUGUUUCAUGUAAAAGAGUUGUACCAACCAAGUACUAAUGAUCAUACUCGUAACUCGGAAGUAUUUUGUUUGUAGGGUAUCAAGGGCUAGUCUUUCAUUGUACAAUUCCUUUGUUGCUUCCUCUUGUUGUAAUUAAUCGAAUAUGUGAAUUAGGAUUCGAAUACUGAACUACAAGUAGUUAAUCAAAGGUGCAUUUUUUGUAAGUAUUUUGAGCAAA